rnacentral:rRNA from 1 species
GAUGAACGCUGGCGGCGUGCCUAAUACAUGCAAGUCGAGCGAACGGACGAGAAGCUUGCUUCUCUAAUGUUAGCGGCGGACGGGUGAGUAACACGUGGAUAACCUACCUAUAAGACUGGGAUAACUUCGGGAAACCGUAGCUAAUACCGGAUAAUAUUUUGAACCGCAUGGUUCAAAAGUGAAAGACGGUCUUGCUGUCACUUAUAGAUGGAUCCGCGCUGCAUUAGCUAGUUGGUAAGGUAACGGCUUACCAAGGCAACGAUGCAUAGCCGACCUGAGAGGGUUAUCGGCCACACUGGAACUGAGACACGGUCCAGACUCCUACGGGAGGCAGCAGUAGGGAAUCUUCCGCAAUGGGCGAAAGCCUGACGGAGCAACGCCGCGUGAGUGAUGAAGGUCUUCGGAUCGUAAAACUCUGUUAUUAGGGAAGAACAUAUGUGUAAGUAACUGUGCACAUCUUGACGGUACCUAAUCAGAAAGCCACGGCUAACUACGUG